AUGAACGCUGGCGGCGUGCCUCAUCCAUGCCGGUCGAGCGAACAGACGAGGAGCUUGCUCCUCUGACGUUAGCGGCGGACGGGUGAGUAACACGUGGAUAACCUACCUAUAAGACUGGGAUAACUUCGGGAAACCGGAGCUAAUACCGGAUAAUAUAUUGAACCGCAUGGUUCAAUAGUGAAAGACGGUUUUGCUGUCACUUAUAGAUGGAUCCGCGCCGCAUUAGCUAGUUGGUAAGGUAACGGCUUACCAAGGCAACGAUGCGUAGCCGACCUGAGAGGGUGAUCGGCCACACUGGAACUGAGACACGGUCCAGACUCCUACGGGAGGCAGCAGUAGGGAAUCUUCCGCAAUGGGCGAAAGCCUGACGGAGCAACGCCGCGUGAGUGAUGAAGGUCUUCGGAUCGUAAAACUCUGUUAUUAGGGAAGAACAAAUGUGUAAGUAACUAUGCACGUCUUGACGGUACCUAAUCAGAAAGCCACGGCUAACUACGUG
rnacentral:rRNA from 1 species